rnacentral:lncRNA from 1 species
GAAAAAAAUGUUAGUAGCAAUGUUGCGGAUUUGAUCCGUGAUCUGAGGUUAAAUCCUCAUUGCUGCACAGAAGAAUUAUGUCCUUAAUGCACCGCUAGGUGACAGACCUAUUGCAGGAGCAAAUGCAGACGUUAUGAACGUUUGGCUAGCUCAAUAUGAUGACUACUUGAUAGUUUAAGUGCACCAUGCUUAACGGCUUAGAAUCGGGACUUCAAAGACGUUUUGAAUGUCAUGGACCAUAUGAGAUGUUCCAGGAGUUGAAGCUAAUAUUUCAAGCAAAUACCCGAGUUGAGAGAUAUGAAGUCUCCAACAAGUUCUAUAGCUAAAAGAUGGAGGAGAAUCGCUCAACUAGUGAGCAUGUGCUCAGAUUGUCUGAGUACUACAAUCGCUUGAAUCAAGUGGGAGUUAAUCUUCCAGAUAAGAUAGUGAUUGACAGAAUUCUCUAGUCACCAUCACCAAGUUAGUAGAACUUCGUGAUGAACUAUGACAUGCAAGGGAUAACGGAAACGAUUCCCAAGCUCUUCGUAAUGCGGAAAUUGACGAAGGUAGAAAUCGAGAAAAACAUCAAGUGUUGAUGGUAGACAAGACCACUAGUUUCAAGAAAAAGGGCAAAGGGAAGAAAAAGGGGAACUUCAAGAAGAACAGCAAGCAAGUUGCUGCUCAAGUGAAGAAGCCCAAGUCUGAUCCUAAGCCUGAGACUAAGUGUUUCUACUGCAAAGGGACUGGUCACUGGAAGCGGAUCUACCCCAAGUGAUUGGCGGAUAAGAAGGAUGGCAAAGUGAACAUAAGUAUAUUUGAUAUACAUGUUAUUGAUGUGUACUUUACUAGUGUUUAUCGCAAACCCUCAGUAUUUGAUACUAGUUCAGUUGCUAAGAUUAGUAACUCGAAACGGGAGUUGCAGAAUAAACAGAGACUAGUUAAGGGUGAAGUGACGAUGUGUGUUGGAAGUGGUUCCAAGAUUGAUAUGAUCAUCAUCGCACACUCCCUAUUCUUUUCGGGAUUAGUGUUGAACCUAAAUAAAUGUUAUUUGGUGUUUGCGUUGAGCAUGAAUAUGAUUUGAUCAUGUUUAUUGCAAUACGGUUAUUCAUUUAAGUAAGAGAAUAAACUGUUGUUCUAUUUACAUGAAUAAAACCUUAUAUGGUUACACACCCAAUGAAAAUGGUUCAUUGGAUCUCGAUCAUAGUGAUACACAUAUUCAUAAUAUUGAUGCCAAAAGAUGCAAAGUUAAUAAUGAUAGUGCAACUUAUUUGUGGCACUGCCGUUUGGGUCAUAUCGGUGUAAAGCGCAUGAAGAAACUCCAUAAAGAUGGAUUUUCGGAAUCACUUGGUUAUGAAUCAUUUGAUGCUUGCGAACCGUGCCUUUUGGGCAAGAUGACUAAAACUCCGUUCUUCGGAACAAUGGAACGAGUUACUGACUUGUUGGAAAUAAUACAUACCGAUGUAUGCGAUCCAAUGAGUGCUGUUGCUCGUGGCAAGCAUCGUUGUUUUCUGACCUUCACAAGAUGAUUUGAGCAGAUAUGGGUAUAUCUACUUGAUGAAACAUAAGUCUGAAAUAGUUGAAAGGUUCAAAGAAUUUCAGAGUGAAGUGGAAAAAUCAUCGUAACAAGAAAAUAAAGUUUCUGCGAUCUGAUCGCGGAGACAAAUAUUUGAGUUACGAGUUUGGUCUUCAAUUAAAACAAUGUGGAAUAGUUUCACAGCUCACGCCACCUGGAACACCACAUCGUUAUAGUGUGUCCGAACGUCGUAACCGCACUUUAUUUGAUAUGGUGCGAUCUAUGAUAUCUCUUUACCACUAUCGUUUUGGGGUUAUGCAUUAGAGACAGCUGCAUUCACGUUUUAAAAUAGGGCACCAUCUAAAUCCGUUGAGACGACACUGUAUGAACUAUGGUUUAGCAGUAAACCUAACCUGUUGUUUCUUAAAGUUUGGGGCUGCGAUGCUUAUGUGAAAAAGGUUUCAUCCUGAUAAGCUCGAACCCAAAUCGGAGAAGUGCGUCUUCAUACCCAAAGGAAAUUGUUGGGUACACCUUCUAUCACAGAUCCGAAGGCAAGACAUUCGUUGCUAAAAUGGAUCCUUUCCAGAGAAGGAGUUUCUCUCGAAAGAAGUGAGUGGGAGGAAAGUAGAACUUGAUGAGGUAAUUAUACCUUCUCCCUUAUUGGAAAGUAGUUCAUCACAGAAAUCAGUUCCAGUGAUUCCUACACCAAUAAGUGAGGAAGUUAAUGAUGAUGAUCAUCAAACUUCAGAUCAAGUUACUACCAAACCUCGUAGGUCUUCCAGAGUAAGAUCCGCACCAGAGUGGUAUGGUAAUCAUGUUCUGGAAGUCAUGUUACUAGACCAUGAUGAACCUACGAACUAUGAGGAAGCAAUGAUGAGCCCAGAUUCCACGAAAUGGCUUGAGGCCAUGAAAUCUGAGAUAUGAUCCAUGUAUGAGAACAAAGUGUAAACUUUGAUUGACUUGCCCAAUGAUCGGUGAGUCAUUAAGAAUAAAUGGAUCUUCAAGAGGAAGACGGACGUUGAUAGUAGUGUUACUAUCUACAAAGCUAGACUUGUCGAAAAAGGUUUUUGACAAAGUUCAAGGUGUUGAAUACGAUGAGAUUUUCUUACUCGUAUCGAUGCUUAAAAGUCUGUCCGAAUCAUGUUAGCAAUUGCCGCAUUUUAUGAUUAUGAAAUUUGGCAGAUGGAUGUCAAAACUGCAUUCCUGAAUGGAUUUCUAGAAGAAGAGUUGUAUAUGAUGCAACCGGAAGGUUUUGUCGAUCCAAAGGGAGCUAACAAAGUGUGCAAGCUCCAGCGAUCCAUUUAUGGACUGGUGCAAGAAUCUCGGAGUUGGAAUAUACGCUUUGAUAAGUUGAUCAAAGCAUAUAGUUAUUGUACAGACUUACAGUGAAGCCUGUAUUUACAAGAAAGUGAGUGGGAGCACUACAACAUUUCUGAUAAGUAUAUGUGAAUGACAUAUUGUUGAUCGGAAAUAAUGUAGAAUUAUUCUGCAAAGCAUGAAAGGAUACUUGAAUAAAAGUUUUUCAAAGAAAGACCUUGGUGAAGCUGCUUACACAUUGAGCAUCAAGAUCUAUAUAGAUAGAUGAAGACGCUUGAUAAGAUUUUUUCAAUGAAUACAUACCUUGAUAAAUUUUUGAAAUAGUUCAAAAUGGAACAGUCAAAGAAGGAGUUCUUGCCUGUGUUGCAAGGUGUUAAGUUGAGUAAGACUCAAAGCCCGACCACGGCAGAAAAUAGAAAGAGAAUGAAAGUCAUUCCCUAUGCCUCAGUCAUAGGUUCUAUAAAGUAUGCCAUGUUGUAUACCAGAUCUAUUGUAUGCCAUACCACUGAGUUUGUCAAGGGAGUACAAUAGUGAUCUAGAAGUAGAUCACUGGAGAAGCGGUCAAAAUUGUCCUUAGUGGAAUAAGGAUAUGUUUCUCGAUUAUGGAAAAAGGUUCGUCGUAAAAGGUUACGCCGAUGCAAGUUUGACACUAAUCUAGAUAACUCUAAGUCUUGAUCUAGAUACAUAUUGAAAGUGGGAGCAAUUAGCUAGAGUAGCUCCGUGCAGAGCAUUGUAGACAUAGAAUUCGCAAAAUACUUACGGAUCUGUAUAUGACAUACCCGUUGACUAAGAUUCUCUCACAAGCAAAACAUGAUCACACCUUAGUACUCCUUGGGUGUUAAUCACAUAGCGAUGUGAACUAGAUUACUAAAUCUAGUAAACCCUUUGGGUGUUAAUCACAUGGUGAUGUGAACUAUUGCUGUUAAAUCACAUGGCGAUGUGAACUAGAUUAUUGACUCUAGUGCAAGUGGGAGACUGAAGGAAAUAUGCCCUAGAGGCAAUAAUAAAGUUAUUAUUUAUUUCCUUAUAUCAUGAUAAAUGUUUAUUAUUCAUGCUAGAAUUGUAUUAACCGGAAACAUAAUACAUGUGUGAAUACAUAGACAAACAGAGUGUCACUAGUAUGCCUCUACUUGACUAGCUCGUUAAUCAAAGAUGGUUAUGUUUCCUGACCAUGAACAAUGAGUUGUUAUUUGAUUAACGAGGUCACAUCAUUAGUUGAAUGAUCUGAUUGACAUGACCCAUUCCAUUAGCUUAGCACCUGAUCGUUUAGUAUGUUGCUAUUGCUUUCUUCAUGACUUAUACAUGUUCAUAUGACUAUGAGAUUAUGCAACUCCCGUUUGCCGGAGGAACACUUUGGGUGCUACCAAACGUCACAACGUAAAUGGGUGAUUAUAAAGGAGCAUUACAGGUGUCUCCAAAGGUAGAUGUUGGGUUGGCGUAUUUCGAGAUUAGGAUUUGUCACUCCGAUUGUCGGAGAGGUAUCUCUGGGCCCUCUCGGUAAUGCACAUCACAUAAGCCUUGCAAGCACUGCAACUAAUAUGUUAGUUGUGAGAUGAUGUAUUACGGAACGAGUAAAGAGACUUGCCGGUAACGAGAUUGAACUAGGUAUUGGAUACCGACGAUCAAAUCUCGGGCAAGUAACAUACCGAUGACAAAGGGAACAACGUAUGUUGUUAUGCGGUCUGACCGAUAAAGAUCUUCGUAGAAUAUGUAGGAGCCAAUAUGGGCAUCCAGGUCCCGCUAUUGGUUAUUGACCGGAGACAUGUCUCGGUCAUGUCUACAUUGUUCUCGAACCCGUAGGGUCCGCACGCUUAAGGUUUUGAUGACAGUUAUAUUAUGAGUUUAUGAGUUUUGAUGUACCGAAGGAGUUCGGAGUCCCGGAUGAGAUCGGGGACAUGACGAGGAGUCUCGAAAUGGUCGAGACGUAAAGAUCGAUAUAUUGGACGACUAUAUUAGGACAUCGGAAAGGUUCCGAGUGAUUCGGGUAUUUUUCGGAGUACCGGGUAGUUACGGGAGAAGUAAUGGGCCUUAAUGGGCUUUAGUGGGAAGAGGAAAAAGGCUGCUGCGCCCCCCCUCCCCUUUGGUCCGAAUUGGACUAGGGAAAAGGGGGCCGGCCACCUCUCCUUCUCCUCCUAUUCCUUCUCCCUUCCUCCCCUCUUGGUGGACUCCUACUAGGACUUGGAGUCCUAGUAGGACUCCCUAUCCUGGCCGCACCUUUGCCUUGGCCGGCCUCCUCCUCCUCCAUCCUUUAUAUACGGAGGCAGGGGCACCUCUAAACACACAAGUUGACACAAGUUGAUCCACGUGAUCUAUUCCUUAGCCGUGUGCGGUGCCCCCUGCCACCAUAUACCUCGAUAAUACUGUAGCGGAGUUUAGGCGAAGCCCUGCUGCUGUAGUUCAUCAAGAUCGUCACCACGCCGUCGUGCUGACGGAACUCUUCCCUGACACUUUGCUGGAUCGGAGUCCGGGGAUCGUCAUCGAGCUGAACGUGUGCUCGAACUCGGAGGUGCCGUAGUUUCGGUGCUUGAUCGGUUGGAUCGUGAAGACGUACGACUACUUCCUCUACGUCGUGUCAUUGCUUCCGCAGUCGGUCUGCGUUGGGUACGUAGACAACACUCUCCUCUCGUUGCUAUGCAUCACAUGAUCCUGUGUGCGCGUAGGAAAAUUUUUGAAAUUACUACGAAACCCAACAAAAAAUCCUCGCAAAGUUUCGUUCCAUUCCGAAAACUUUUAUUUCUGCACAAAAACAACACCAUGGUAGUUCUGCUAAAAAUAGUGUUAGUCCGGGGUUAGUUUCAUUCAAAGCAUGCAAAUUAGAGUCCAAAACAAGAGGAAAAGCAUUAGGAAAAGUAGAUACGUUGGAGACGUAUCAACUCCCCCAAGCUUAAACCUUUGCUUGUCCUCAAGCAAUUCAGUUGAUAAACGGAAAGUGAAAAAGAAAAACUUUUAUGAACUCUUUUGCCCUUGUUUCAUAAAUAAGCUUAAACAGCACCCAGGUUUUCAACAAGGAUUAUAACUAACCAUGUCGACAAUAACUCUUAAAAAUUAUAUUAACUCAUAUCAAUGACAUAAUCAACUAGAGAACAAUAAUAAAACAUCUCAAAUAGCAACACAUUGUCAAAACAACCAUGAUAUAAUGUGAUAAUAGUGGUAUCUCGCUAGCCCUUUCUGAGACCGCAAAACAUAAAUGCAAAGCACCCCCAAAGUUCAAGAAGUGACUAAAUAUUGUAAUUCAUGGUAGAAAAGAUCCAGUCAUGAUGCACCCAAUAUUAGCUACACACAAUGCAUCGGCAUGACAUCAGUGCUCUCAGGUUCUGGUGCUUAUUUGAGAAGGUGAUGACACAACAUAAAAGUAAAUAGAUAGUCCCUUCGCAGAGGGAAGCAGUGAUUUGCAGCGGUGCCAGAGCUCAAGUUUUUAAAACAGAGGUAAAUAAUAUUUUGAGACAUGCACCCUUCCCAUUUACUUUGCGACUAUCAGUUAUCAAUAUCUUCCAUGCUAAACACGCUAGUGGCGGUUCCCAAGCGGGAAAUGUAAUGGUUAUGACUCCAUUGGGAGUUUUUGUUUGAUUAUUUAUGAGCUCUUUUAUUUUUGCAGUUUGGGACUGGGCAUCCCUAUUACCGCCCUUUUUCUCGUGCGAUGGCAAGUGAAUAAACACUCGACCUGAGAAUAACCCACUUAGCAUGGAAGAUAUCGACUACCUCCUGUCGUUCCAUGAACGAUCCAGGCACACAAAAAGGAUAUUUAUAUGUAGUUUUUAGAGUUGGCACAUGAAAAUUUACUUAGGACGGCAGGGUAAUACCGCAUAUAGGUAGGUAUGGUGGACUCAUCUGGAAUAACUUGGGUUUCAGGUUUUUGAUGUACAAGCAGAGUUCCCACUUAGUACAAGCGAAGGCUAGCAAAUAGGUUGAGAAGCGGCCAGCUAGAGAGCAACAACGGUCAUGAACAUGCAUUAUGCAUAAGUAAGCAUGAGUAGGAUAUGAACACCAUGAACAUAAAUAUCAUAGAGGCUAUGUUGGUUUUGAUUCAACUACAUGCAUGAACAUGCGCCAAGUCAAGCCACUCAAACAUUCAGAGGAGGAUACCAUAUCAUCAUACUACAUCACAAUCAUUUUAAAGCAAUGUUGAUAUCCAAGAUAAGUCAUCAUUCACUCCUAGCUACUUAUGCAUGGCAUGAGAAACUAUAAUCUCUAAUUAUCAUUGCAAACAUGUUUGAUCAUAAUAGGCUGAAUCAUGGAUACUUGGUUAAACAUAUUUACAAAAACAGAACAAGUCAAGUUCAUACCAGUUUCUCUCUGCCACGGCCAGUUCACUAUUAUCGUCAUUAUUGCCUUUCACUUGCACGACCGAAUGAUUUGAAAAUAAUAAUAGUGCAAGAAUGUCGUGGACUAAGAUGGAAUCUGCAAACAUUUUACUAAAGAGGAGAAGACAAGGUAAUAUGGGCUCUUUGUUAGAUUAACAAUAAAGCAAAUGAGAGCCACUCAACAUUUUCAUUGUGGUAUUCUCCUCGGUAUGACUCAAUAAAAGAAAAAGAAAUUCAGAGAAACACACUAAAAUAUUUUUGGAGUUUUUGGUUUUUCGAAAGCAAGCAAACGAAAAAGGGAAAAGCAAAAACGAGAAAAACUAUUUACAUGGGAAAGCUCCCAACAAGUAAAAGAAGAACAAGAAUAUCUUUUUGGGUUUUAUUUUUAGUACUACAACAAUUUAAACUAGGAAGAAAAAUCAAAAAGAAGCAAGAAACAUAUUUUUGGAUUUUCUCAAAGUUUUUCAAACACGCAAGAAGAAAGCGAGAAAAUAAAUUAAGCAUGGAUGAUACAAUGAAAAAAUAUGGACACCGACAACUAGAAUGAAAUGUGUGAACAUGAAUGCAAUGUCGGCGGGAAUACGUACUCCCCCAAGCUUAGGCUUUUGGCCUAACUUGGUAAUCAGUCAGUAGCCUGGGUGGUAGCCGGCGUGGUGGCUCACGGAGGCUCUCGGUGCUGAUGCCUUGGCCUGCCGUGCUGCCUCCACUGCUGUGUUGUGAGCUCGAGCCUCGCUCUCAAGAACAAAAUGUCUUGCUUUGUUGUGAUAGUCAAAAAGAGCAGGCGCGGGCAAAUAUGUGUGCACAAUAGAUAUUUGGUUAAACAACAGAUUGUAAGUGAAGUUAUGAAUUUUUCCUUUGAGGAUCUUAUGACUUUUUAAAGCAUCAAAGUAUAAAUACUACGUGGGUAGGAUAGGGUCAAAGGGCAAAGGUGGAACACCUAGCCCUCGUGGUAAACACGUGGCAUAUAUUCCGCCAUAGAAAUAGCCAUUGUUAGCGUUACCCUGUAGUCUGCGUGCAACGAUCGCUCCAAGGUUAUAACUUUUAUCACCGUAGAGAGCGGUGUGAAUGAGGCUCGGAUAGGGAGCACAGAGUGUACUACAAUCUUGUUUGCCUACAAUACAUUUUUCAUUAAAUAAUGUGAAGUAUUGAAUUGCGGGAAAAUGUAUGAUCUUUAUUCUACCUUGCGUCACUCCCCUAGUUUCACCAAAGCAAAGACUAGUCAAGAAUGUUUCAAACUCAGACCUGGACGGCCCAUCGAGCGAACCCCAGAAUGGGAUUUUGCAGAGGUGAGCAAACCUCUCUAGAGAAAUGGUAAAUGAAUUUUCAUACAAUUUAAAUGACAACCUAGACUCACGGGGAAAGAGUUUAGAUUCUUUGACAAAUGAUUCGGUAAGGAUGAGGUGUUGGUCACACUUAUCUGAAAUGUAGGGAGCGAGAUCAGCAUUGUGAACUGAUACGUCUCCAACGUAUCUAUAAUUUUUUAUUGUUCCAUGCUAUUAUAUUACCGUUUUGGAUGUUUAUGGGCUUUACUCUACACUUUUAUAUCAUUUUUGGGACUAGCCUACUAAUCGGAGGCCCGGCCCACAUUGAUGUUUUUUGCCUAUUUCAGUGUUUCGAAGAAAAGGAAUAUCAAACAGAGUCCAAACGGAAUGAAACCUUCGGGAUAGUUAUUUUUGGAACGGAAGCAAUCCAGGAGACUUGGAGUAGAUGUCAGGGAAGCUUCGAGGUGGCCACGAGGCAGGGAGGCGCGCCCUACCCCCCUAGGCGCACCCCCCCCCCCCACCCUCGUGGGACCCUCGUGGGCCCCUCGUGGCUCCCCUGACCGACUUCUUUUGCCUAUAUAUGUCCAUAUACCCUAAAAACAUAGAGGAGCACAAUAGAUCGGGAGUUCCGCUGCCGCAAGCGUCUAUAGCCACCAAAAACCUCCCGGUAGCCCAUUCCGGCACCCUGCCGGAGGGGGGAUCCCUCACCGGUGGCCAUCUUCAUCAUCCCAGCGCUCUCCAUGAUGAGGAGGGAGUAGUUCACCCUCAGGGCUAAGGGUAUGUACCAGUAGCUAUGUGUUUGAUCUCUCUCUCUCUCUUGUGUUCUUGAGGUGAUACGAUCUUGAUGUAUCGCGAGCUUUGCUAUUAUAGUUGGAUCUUAUGAUGUUUCUCCCCCUCUACUCUCUUGUGAUGAAUUGAGUUUUCCCCUUGAAGUUGUCUUGUCGGAUUGAGUCUUUAAGUAUUUGAGAACACUUGAUGUACGUCUUGCCAUGCUUAUCUGUGGUGAUAAUGGGAUAUUCACGUGAUCUACUUGAUGUAUGUUUUGGUGAUCAACUUGCAGGUUCAAUGAACUUAUGCAUAGGGGUUGGCACACGUUUUCGUCUUGACUCUCCGGUAGAAACUUUGGGGCACUCUUUGAAGUAAUUUGUGUUGGUUGAAUAGAUGAAUAUGAGGUUGUGUGAUGCAUAUCGUAUAAUCAUACCCACGGAUACUUGAGGUGACAUUGGAGUAUCUAGGUGACAUUAGGGUUUUGGUUGAUUUGUGUCUUAAGGUGUUAUUCUAGUAUGAACUCUAUGAUAGAUCAAACGGAAAGAAUAGCUUCAUGUUAUUUUACUACGGACUCUUGAAUAGAUCGAUCAGAAAGGAUAACUUUGAGGUGGUUUCGUACCCUACAAUAAUCUCUUCGUUUGUUCUCCGCUAUUAGUGACUUUGGAGUGACUCUUUGUUGCAUGUUGAGAGAUAGUUAUAUGAUCCAGUUAUGUUAUUAUUGUUGAGUGAACUUGCACUAGUGAAAGUAUGAACCCUAGGCCUUGUUUCGAAGCAUUGCAAUACCGUUUGUGCUCACUUUUAUCAUUAGUUACCUUGCUGUUUUUAUAUUUUCAGAUUACAAAAACCUAUAUCUACCAUCCAUAUUGCACUUGUAUCACCAUCUCUUCGCCGAACUAGUGCACCUAUACAAUUUACCAUUGUAUUGGGUGUGUUGGGGACACAAGAGACUCUUUGCUAUUUGGUUGCAGGGUUGUUUGAGAGAGACCGUCUUCAUCCUACGCCUCCCACAGAUUGAUAAACCUUAGGUCAUCCACUUGAGGGAAAUUUGCUACUGUCCUACAAACCUCUGCACUUGGAGGCCCAACAACGUCUACAAGAAGAAGGUUGCAUAGUAGACAUCAUGAACAUAUUGCUCAAACUCCUCCUUAAUACCCACUCUCACCAUAUAAUCGUUGCAUGGCCCUAAGAAUGUUUUGGUGGUGGCACUUCGAAUGGAACUUUCACUUGGUUCGACAUAAGACCGACGGACGGAGCUGCUGCUAGAAGAUGCCUCCGAGGAUCUCCCCCUCAAAGAACUCCUUCCAAAGAAGUUCAUAAUGUUCGCGUACAAUUUUCUGAAAAAUUUUGGUCAUGAAAAUUUAUUAACAAAACUUCAGAAAAUUGAUAGCAACUACUUAUAGAGAUGUAUAGAGGCCAUAGAAAGCAUUCAAACUACUUAGAACUCUAAGAAUUCAACAUGCAAGCUCAUCUACAGCAGCACCAAGAGUAGCUAAUUAUUCUAAAUAUAAACCACUAAAACAAAAACUAAUUGGACACAUGGAGGAGUGACAUGCCAAGCAACAAAUCCCCGAAAUAGUUCCGAAAAUGGAGCUUCGGGCAAGGAGAUCAAAAUCUGCGGUUUCGGGAGCAAGAACAUGAGAGAGAGAGAGAGAGUGGUAGUGAUUUUUUUCUGGGUGAAUGGAGUGAUGUGGGAAGAAGAAGUAAGUGAGGGGGCCACUGGGGACCACAACCCACCAGGGCGCGCCUGGGGGUCCUGGCGCGCCCAGGUGGGUUGUGCCCACCUGGUGCACCUCCCUCUGAUAUUAUUUGCACCAGAAAUUCAGGAAUAUUCAGAAAAGAAUCGUGUAAAAUUUUCAGGGCAUUCUGAGAACUUUUAUUUUUUGGGUCAUUUUUAUUGCAUGAAAAAAAUCAGAAAAUAGACAAGGCAUGGCAUUUUAUUUUAUUUAACUAAGAAAAAUAGAAAACAAAAGGUAGGGACAGAAGGUAGUGCCUACUAAAUUCAUCAACUUCAUACCUUUCGAAAAUGAUUCAUUAAUAAGGUUGAUCAAGUCUUAUUAACAACCACUUUCGAUUAGCAUGAAACAGAAGAACUUUCCUAAAUCACUAAGUUACCUCAAUAGGGAUAUAAUGUCCCCAACAAUAAGAAUUUCAUAUUUCUUUUAACAGUAGGUAGAGUUAGUUGAAAACUUCCAAUAGUGAUUGUCGGAGAUUUUUCAAUAACAUUAAUACCAUUCACUUGGAAUUAUUUCUUCGGAAAGUGCACCGUAUGCUCAUUCCCAUUGAUAUGAAAAAUGACCUUGCUUUUAUUGGAAUCAAUAACAGACCCUGCAGUAUUCAAGAAGGGUCUACCAAGGAUAAUCGACAUAUUGUCAUCCUCGGGCAUCUCAAGUAUAACAAAGUCAGUCAAAAUAGUAACAUUAGCAACAACAACGAGCACAUCCUCACAAAUACCGAUAGGUAUGGCAGUUGAUUUGUCGGCCAUUUGCAAAGAUAUUUCAGUAGGUGUGAGUUUAUUCAAAUCAAGUCUUUUAUAUAAAGAGAAGGGCAUAGCACUAACACCAACUCCCAAAUCACAUAAAGCAGUUUUCACAUAAUUUCUUUUGAUGGAGCAAGGUACAGUUGGUAUUCCCGGAUCUCCAAGUUUUUUAGGUACUCCAUCCUUGAAAGUGUAAUUAGCAAGCAUAGUGGAGAUUUCAGCUUCCGGUAUUUUUCUCUUAUUGGUGAUGAUGUCUUUCAUUAUAUUGCAUAAGGAGGUAUCUUUAAGAUAUCAGUUAAGCGAGUUCGCAGAAAAACUGGCCUCAACAUUUCAACAAAGCAUUCAAAUUAUUCUUCAUCUUUCUUUUUAGUUGACUUAGGUGGAAAGGGCAUAGGCUUUUGAACCCAUGGUUCUCUUUCCUUACCGUGUUUUCUAGCAACAAAGUCUCUUUUAUCAUAUCUUUUAUUCUUAGGUUGUGGGUUAUCAAGAUCAACAGAUGGUUCUAUCUCAACAUCAUUAUCUGGUUCUUUAUCAUUUGGUUGAGUGUCUUCAUGAACCUCAUCGUUUUCUUUCUCAUUAUCAGGAGGUGAGUGUUCAUUACCAGAUUGAGUUUCAGCAUCAGAGAUAGAAAUUUCAUUAUCAUUAUCAGGAGGUUUCUCUAUUUCAGGUUCACUAGUAGCAUGCAAAGUCCUAUGAUUUUUAUUUUUCUUCUUCUUUUUAGAAGGACUAGGUGUAGUUGUGUUGUUCCUUUGUGAAUCAUGUUCAAUUCUCUUUGGGUGGCCCUCGGGAUAAAGUGGUUCCUGAGUCAUUUUACCUCCUCUAGUUGCUACUCUAACAACAAAGCCACUUAUAUUAUUGUUCAUUUCAUCAAGCAACUCUUUUUGAGAUUUAGCAACUUGUUCUAAUUGAGUUUUAACCAUAGAGGCAUGCUUUCCUACACCUCUAACAUCAUUUGAGAUUCUAAAUAACAAGUCACUUAAGCGAGCAAUCAUAUCAGAGUUGUAUUUCAAUUGUUUCAUAACAUUUGCAUAGAAGUGAUCUUGCUUUCUAAUGUAAUUAUCAAACUCAUAAAGGCAUUGACUAGGAUGUUUGUUACGAGGAUCAUCACUAUAAUUGAAUUUCAUUAAAGAUUUUACCUCUACCACCUUAGGUGGUGGUGGUGCUUCAAUCCCAUGUAUUUCUUUGAUGGGUGGUAAAUUUUUAACAUCCUCAGCUUUAAUACCUUUUUCCUUCAUAGAUUUAUUUGCCUCUUGCAUAUCUUCAGGACUGAGAUAUAAGAUACCCCUCUUCUUCGGAGUGGGUUCAAUAGGUGUUUCAGGAGGAUUCCAAUCAUCAUAAUUUUUCAAUAUGUCAUUCAAUAAUUCUUCAGCUUGCCCAAUGUUCGUUCCCUGAAAACACAACUAGCACAACUAUCUAGGAAUCCCUAGAAGCAUGGGUUAGUCCAUUGUAGAAGAUAUCAAGUAUUUCAUUUUUCUUAAGAGGAUGAUCAGGCAAAGCAUUAAGCAAUUGGAGAAGCCUCCCCAAGCUUGUGGGAGACUCUCUUCUUCAAUUUUCACAAAGUUAAAUAUUUCCUGCAAGGCAGCUUGUUUCUUAUAAGCAGGGAAAUAUUUUUCAGAGAAGUAAUAGAUCAUAUCCUGGGGACUACGCACACAACCAGGAACAAGAGUAUUGUACCAAGCUUUAGCAUCACCCUUUAAUGAGAAUGGAAAUAACUUGAGAAUAUAGUAAUAGCGAAUCUUCUCAUCAUGAGCAAAAAGAGUGGCUAUAUCAUUCAACUUAGUAAGAUGUGCCACAACAGUUUCAGUUUCAUAACCAUGGAAAGGAUCAGAUUCAACCAAAGUAAUUAACUUUGGGUCGACAGAGAAUUCAUAAUCCUUAUCACUAAUAAGAAUAGGUGAAGUAGCAAACUCAGGAUCACAUUUCAUCUUAGCAUUCAGAGAACUUUCUUUAUACUUGCAUAAUAAUUUCUCUAGAUCAUCUCUAUCCUUACAAGCAGGAAUAUCUCUAGUUGCCUCUUCACUCAUAGUAUAAGCUUGUGGUACGUUUGGCAAUUCAUAUCUAGGAGGACUAGUUCUAGUAGGUGUUUCAAGAUUUUCAGUUUCAAGUUCAUCAUCAGAUUCAACAAUAUCAUGUUGUCUUACUCUAGCAAUUUGCUCAUCAAGAAAUUCACUUAGUGGCACAUCAUCAUCAAGCAAGGUACUAGCAUCAUCAUGAGUAGCAUUCAUAGAAGAAGUAGCAUCAUCAAUAACUUGCGACAUAUCGGAAUUAAUAGCAUGUUGUGGUGUUGCAAGUUUACUUAUAACAGAAGGUGAAUCUAAAGCAGAACUGGAUGGCAGUUCCUUACCUCCCCUCGUCUUUGAGGGAAAAAUCUUAGUCUUAGCAUCCUUUAGAUUCUUCAUAGUGAUAUAGUAUGAUAAUAAUCCCAAGUGACUCAACAAAUAUAGCUAUGCUCCCCGGCAACGGUGCCAGAAAAAUGUCUUGAUAACCCACAAGUAUAGGGGAUCGCAAUUGUUUUCGAGGGUGGAGUAUUCAACCCAAAUUUAUAGAUUUAACACAAGGGGAGCCAAAGAAUAUUUGAAGGUAUUAGCAGCUGAGUUGUCAAUUCAACCACACCUGGAGAUUAAUUAUCUGCAGCAAAGUGAUUAGUAGCACAGUAGUAUGAUAGUUUUGAUGGUAGCAGCAGUAGCAACGGUAACGGUAACAGUGGUAGCAGUAAUAUUGUAGCAGUAACGAUAGUAGUAGCAGUAGUAAUAACUUAGCAAGAACAAUAUAAGAUAAAUUCGUAGGCAUUGGAUCGAUGACUCGUUGAAUGAUAUUCAUCAUGAGACAGUUAUAACCUAGGGCGAUAUGGCACUAGCUCCAGUUCAUAAAUAUAAUGUAGGCAUGUAUUCCGUAAAUAGUCAUACAUGCUUAUGGAAAGAACUUGCAUGACAUCUUUUGUCCUACCCUCCUGUGGCAGCGGGGUCCUAUUGGAAACUAAGGGAUAUUAAGGCCUACUUUUACUAGAGAACAGGAACAAAGCAUUAGCACACGGUGAAUACAUGAACUCCUCAAACUAUGGUCAUCACCGGGAGUGGUCCCGACUAUUGUCACUCCGGGGUUGCCGGAUCAUAACACGUAGUAGGUGACUAUAACUUGCAAGAUCGGAUCUAGAACAUGGAUAUAAUGGUGAUAACAUAAAUGGUUCAGAUCUGAAAUCAUGGCACCCAGGCGCAAAGUGACAAGCAUUAAGCAUGGCAAAGUCAUAGCAACAUCAAUCUCGGAACAUAGUGGAUACUAGGGAUCAGGCCCUAACAAAACUAACUCAAAUACAUGAUGAAUCUCAUCAAACUUCUCACCGACCAGUGAGCCUACGAAGGAAUUACUCACUCCCGAUGGGGAGCAUCAUGGUAUUGGCGAUGGAGAUGUGUUGGUGAUGACGAAGGUCGAAGGUCCCCCUCUCCGGAGCCCCAAACGGACUCCAGAUCUGGCCUCCCGAUGAAGAACAAGAGACGGCGGUGGCUCCGUCUCGUGAAACACGAUAAUUCUUUCUCCCUGAUUUUUUUCUGGAAAUAUGUGAUUUUAUAGCGUCGGUUUUAGGGUCAGCGGGGCCACCAGGUGGGCAGCAUCCACCAGGGCGCGCCUGGGGGGCAGGCACUCCCUGGUGGGUUGUGCCCACCCAGGUGCCCCCUCGGGUACCUCUUGGCUCCAGAAAUUCUCUUAUUUGAUAUAAAAAAUCCUCGCAAAGUUUCGUUCCAUUCUGAGAACUUUUUUUUCUGCACAAAAACAACACCAUGGUAGUUCUACUGAAAACAGCGUCAGUCCGGGUUAGUUUCAUUCAAAUCAUGCAAAUUAGAGUCCAAAACAAGAGGAAAAGUGUUAGGAAAAGUAGAUAUGUUGGAGAUGUAUCAUGCUAUCAUAUGUUUGUUAGGCAGAAUUGCCUAUUCCUCUUCUUUAUUUUUUUUGCAAAUCACUACUAACACCCCGAUUUUGAUAACCGUAUUUCAGCUGGGAGGAGUUCAGGGUGGCCAUUGCGGUUGCGUUGUCCACGUAUGAAAAAUGUUUCCCAAAUUCUCCCUUGCCCUAUGUUCGAAUACCCACUGGCUCAAGUUGCAUCAAGUGUCAGGUUGUUGACCUGCCAGCGUCAUAUGGUGACUUUGUUGUGCCUAGUUUCCCCAUAGACAUGACGAUUUCUAAUGUUGCUAAUUGUAUCAUGAACUGGAUUGCAAAAAAGGUUCCCUCUCCUUCUCUCGCAAGGUGUGUUUCCAUUUAUUUAUCGCAUUAUUUCCCCACCUUAGUCCGGGAAAAAGUAAGGUUGAUUCUUCUAUUUCAACUAUUUCAGAGAUUGGGUGCUCAUGGAGGAUCACCCUGCUGUCCGUGUGACAGGAAAAGAGUUGUGGUCUAUUUCCAACAUGAGCUCAGAUAUAAACAAUGAUGUUGCUAAAGGGGUCAUUCGUGUGUUCAACGCCGAUGUAGAUUCCAAAUUGAAACAUGAUGCUUCCUUUGCACCUCGUUGUUACGUCACUAUCGCCUUCGUGGUUUGUGCCUCUAUUACUUUUCCCUUCAUCUUGUAUGUUUGUUUAGAUGAAAAAUAACCUUAACAAUUUUCAUUAACUUUUCCUUUCUAGAUCAACGCCCUUUCAAAUAAACAUGGUGCCAUAGCAGGCAUGGACAUGCUCAGUGUGGAUGUCAUUGGCUAUGACAUUCGUGCCUGCCAUCAGGUAUUUACAUUUGGUUUGUUGUAUAUGCAGUGCUAACAAUUGAACUACUUCAUAUAAUAAAAUACAUUGUAGUUUGUGGAUGUCGUGCCUAUAGAAAAGAUGUGAGCUUGUUUAUCAUGGGAUUUUAAGAAGCGUCACUUCACCCUUGUGGACCCUACAGAGAUUAGCAUGACUUCAGAUGAAAUCUAGGCCAGGCACAAAGAAAACUUUUCCCUCUUGAACAAAAAACUUAUCGAUGUUCUACGUCAGAUCCAUGGCGAUCUUGGUUAUGGUGCUGGCCCUUGGACUAUGCUAGUGCACUCAGUAAUAGGCCAUAAUUGUAUCAAGUAUGUUAGUUUACUCACCACGGCUUUGUAGUUAUUAUCCGACUUCCUGGGCCAUAUGUAUUGAUUGUUAAUUAUGUGUUUGUUCAGGAAUGCCUCUGGUGUUUACGCCUUCACUUGUGCUAAAAUUGUGGAUUGCGCCUUCGGAGCGCUUGCUGCUGACACUUUUGACGUGAUACAAACCACGUGGUUGUUGCUUUACAAGAUGCUUAUACAGGAGGGUAACUUGGGAAGAUAUGUGUUGCCACCCUCUGCUCCAACUAAGAUUAUGCUCCAGCCCACCUGCCCAAAGUUGAACUGAUGAUAUAGGAUGUAUGUUGCAUCCUUAGCAUUCCGUUCAAUGAGAGACUUGAAGCACUUUUUGUUUCCUGUCCUGCUUAUGUUUAUUUUCGUUUGCUAUCACUGUGUCAUCUUUUAUUACCGCUUGAACUAUCUAUUGUAUUGCAUUUCAAUUUCUUUUUUACUUUGUGUUGCACAGUAUGGAUUCAUCAUAAAAAAAUGUUUGAUCUAGAGAUAUUUUCCAUCCCUACUUCCUUUCUUCCUCCUGAGGCCUCCAACUCUUUCAUUGAUAUUGCUUAAGUGGAAACACCACUCCUUAAAAAACACUUUAUAGAAGUAUGAUGUUUGCUUUAAAUGCUAGAACGCUUGUUGGUUCCCCCUUUCCAAUCCAUCAUUUUAGUCCCAUUGUAUGUACAGAUAUUCUAGGUACUAGGAUGCUUGUGAGUUCCCAUAGGUUAUCCGUGAUGCAUUGGGUUGUUUGUACAAACGUGCUAGUUGAAGAUACAAAGGCUUGCCAAAUUCCAUUGGUUGUCGAGGAUGCAUCGUGGCGUGUUUAUGAAAGAUGCUAGCUAUGUGACAGUUAGUGUGCCUAUAUAGGAGCACGGUAUGCCUCUAUCAUAAUGUGUGCCACUACUACAUAUAUGUGUGUCAUUAUUGUUCUUUCUUUGAAACCACUUGCUCUGCCAAUGCUCCUUCAACCCACACAUUUCCCAUUCGACACACCCCUUGCACAGUCCCCAACAUCGCAUGAGGUAGGUAAAAUAGUUUGCAAGUGCACUAUGAUAAUUUUAAAAUAGUCUCCAUCUUUGUUUUGUUGUCUUCUGCAGCGUAGCGUUCCUCGGUAACCUCGGGAUUGUUUUCUCCAUCCUCUUGCACAUCGGCCCCAUGUGUCGCCGUUGAUUCACUCCGUUGUGGGUAUUUCAGUACAACCUCUCUUUGUCUUCUUGUACCUCAUGUGUUUGUUGAUCUCUACUAUCUAGAGUUCUUGUUGACGUUGUCUUCGGUGCAAAGGCUUCUUUUGUUCAUUGAGAUGUUUGAUUGUCCCCAUAGUUACCAUCUCGUCUGGAAGUCAAGACAUCAGCAAGAGACUACACUCCUCCCCAGUAUCACACUUCUUUUUGACUGAUCUUGGUGUUCUGUGAGCGAUGAGCUCAUCCAACUGUACAUAUGAUCAUUGCUAAGAUAAUGUUGUCCAGAUGAUAUGUAAUGUACUCUAGUUGAAUCAAGGUUUCCAUGUCUCUCAUUAUAUGUUGUAAUCUCUUCCUGUAAUGGAAAUAUUUAGAAGAAUUCUCUAAAACCUUAGAUGAUGAUCUGGUCUUAUCGAAGAGCAUUGUUUGAGAGUCCAACAAUAUUUUUUGGUGUUGAUAGUCUCAAAUAACAUGGUACAAAUUUGCAGUGUCUACUCUACUCCUGGAAUUGAAGAGUUUGAAAUGGCAUACUUCAUUUUUGUAUUGUAUCUUCUGCAAUUGGAUUUGUUGCUAAUGAUCGAGUUGAAUGGUACUCGGCUUGUAGUGCUCUACAAUAGGUGGCAAACACAAUAUUAUGAACUUGGGAGCUGUCUCUAAGCUCCUGGCUUGGAAAGGAAAAAAAUAUCAAUAAUGUGGAUCAAGUGACUCUGGUGAAAUCAGUGCUAACCUCCCAAAUCAUCUGCCACAUCAUUGCUCUUGACAUUUCUAAGGGAACCCAAGCAAACAUUAGUAUAAUUGAACGAGCUUUCCUCUAGGCGGCAUGGAUAAAGUCAAUGGUGUGCAAUGCAAAGUCAAUUGGAAAUCGUUGUGAUACCAAAAUCCAUUGGAGACCUUGGAGUUCUUAACAUUGAUAAGUUCUCAAGGGCUCUUCGCCUUCGGAGGCUUUGGUUCGCUUGGAAGGAUCCGCGCAGGGCGUGGGUAGGCUUUGAGACUCCAUGUGAUGAAUAAGAUUACGAUCUUUUCUACGGCCUGACCAGCAUCACAAUUGGUGAUGGAAAGACGGUGAGCUUUUGGAAGGCGCGCAUUGCCCAUGGAAUUUUUUACCUCUCUGGACGCAAUAACUGCGAGGUGCACAAGGCUUUACAAGACACUUAUUGAUCAGGCGCAUAUACCUUCAGCAUGCCCUCUUGAUGGUUCGCAUCCAUUAGUUCCUCAUCCUCUAGUAGAAAAUUCAAGAGGUUGUUCUCAACCCAAAUACAGAAGAUGAGAUCACUUGAAAAUUCAUGACCGAUGGCUAAUACUCGGGGGCUACAGCUUAUAAAAUUGUAAUUUGCGGGCCUAAUUAAAUAGUAUGGAAGUGUUGGGAACCUUCGAAAAUCAAGUUGUUUUCUUGGCUCAUCUUGCGUAAUAGAGUUUGGAUGGCGGACAAGUUACAGAGGCGAGUUUAGCCGAAUUGAUGGGUUAUGUCAACUGUGUAAGCGUGAGCUUGAGUCUGCGGCACACAUGAUCUUCAAGUGUUGUUACUCCAAGUACAUCUGGAAUAUGACUAAGGAAUGGAUUGACAUACAUCACAUGGACACACCCAACUGGAACGGUUACCUCUCAGACUCUCAGUCAAGGAUUGGUGGAAUGCGACGAUUGGAAUGCCGGGCGGCCGAAGCAAAGCUAUGUGAUCAUGAUGAUUUCCUAGGAGAUAUGAAACGAACGGAAUGCACAUGUUUUCCGUAAUGAGGCGACUAUGCUGUCAAUCGUGAUGACCAAGAUUAAAAGAGAAGCCCGAAACUGGGUCAUUGCCGGGGUGGGGUCCUUAAUUCCGGAAGAGUAGUCCCGUUGUAUUGACCUUUUUUGGUUUGAAUCUCUUAAGAUUCUGUUAUUCCCUUUUCUUAAUUAAUGAGAUGGCGCAAAAUAAUUUCAAACAAAGAAAAGUUAUACUGGAAAUACAAACUAUCUAAGGGAUUUGAAUGGUGACAUCAUAAUAUUGAGGGUAUGGACUCUCAUUUCCCACUCAGCCAAAAUAUGAAUAUCUUCCAAGGUACUCUCCAAUCUAAAAUGGAUGUCCUUUUAGAAUUUCUGUUGGUUAAACUUUUUUUUAUGUAUAACUAUCAAUUCAAAAGGAGUUAUUGGUAUUGACAUUCUGAAAUAUACACCAUGAUUUUUGUUUUUUAUGUAACAUAUUGUCAAAGAAAUUGGUGGUCCAAUAUCACAUAGGAGACAAUGUCAAUGUCCUAGAAGACCAAGGAUUUUUGAAACAAAGUGAGCAACUACAUUUUCCCAUCACUCAGCCAUAACCAUACAGAUCUUGAUGAGAACAGUGCAUACUAAAACCACUGAAAAAGAUAGAACAAGCAAACUAUGGGAGAUUAGCUGUACAACAUUUCCCUCCAGGGAGCCCCUAUGGUGCCACUGCAGCUGCAGGGUGUUUGCUGUACAGAAGGGCCUUCUUUCAUCGGCACAAGCUAGCAUCUGUUGCUGAAGAUGCAAACAGCAGGCUGUCCGAUACACGAUGUAUCCCAUGACAAGCAAAGAGCACUCUCAAUCCUUAACAUCUGUGACGCCUUCAGGUGAUAUCUGAAACCUUGCUUCAGCUUCAGCCAGGCAGGGAGAGCUCACCACCUUACAGAUCCGCUCCUCCGCCCUUCCCUUACGGAG